rnacentral:rRNA from 1 species
UACAGAGGUGGCAAGCGUUGUUCGGAAUUACUGGGCGUAAAGGGCGCGUAGGCGGCCAUCUAAGUCAGACGUGAAAUCCCCCGGCUUAACCUGGGAACUGCGUCUGAUACUGGACGGCUUGAGUAUGGGAGAGGGAUGUAGAAUUCCAGGUGUAGCGGUGAAAUGCGUAGAUAUCUGGAGGAAUACCGGUGGCGAAGGCGGCCUGCUGGGCAGUUUAGCUGACACCGAGGCGCGACAGCGUGGGGAGCAAACAGG